rnacentral:snoRNA from 1 species
GCGUGGAUUUGGAUUUAUGGCAUGCUUGUACCCCUGGUCCUGUCAUGGUGUCCCAUGCCAGAGCAAACUGGCCCUGAACCAUUGCCUGGCCUCUCGCUGUAGGCUGCUGUCAUUGAAGUGGGUUGCAUGUUG